rnacentral:rRNA from 1 species
GACGAACGCUGGCGGCGUGCCUAAUACAUGCAAGUCGAGCGGACAGAUGGGAGCUUGCUCCCUGAAGUCAGCGGCGGACGGGUGAGUAACACGUGGGCAACCUGCCUGUAAGACUGGGAUAACUCCGGGAAACCGGGGCUAAUACCGGAUAGUUCUUCUCUCCACAUGGAGAGAAGGGGAAAGACGGUUUCGGCUGUCACUUACAGAUGGGCCCGCGGCGCAUUAGCUAGUUGGUAAGGUAACGGCUUACCAAGGCGACGAUGCGUAGCCGACCUGAGAGGGUGAUCGGCCACACUGGGACUGAGACACGGCCCAGACUCCUACGGGAGGCAGCAGUAGGGAAUCUUCCGCAAUGGACGAAAGUCUGACGGAGCAACGCCGCGUGAACGAAGAAGGCCUUCGGGUCGUAAAGUUCUGUUGUUAGGGAAGAACAAGUACCAGAGUAACUGCUGGUACCUUGACGGUACCUAACCAGAAAGCCACGGCUAACUACGUG